GAUGAACGCUGGCGGCGUGCCUAAUACAUGCAAGUCGAGCGAACAGACGAGGAGCUUGCUCCUCUGACGUUAGCGGCGGACGGGUGAGUAACACGUGGAUAACCUACCUAUAAGACUGGGAUAACUUCGGGAAACCGGAGCUAAUACCGGAGAAUAUAUUGAACCGCAUGGUUCAAUAGUGAGAGACGGUUUUGCUGUCACUUAUAGAUGGAUCCGCGCCGCAUUAGCUAGUUGGUAAGGUAACGGCUUACCAAGGCAACGAUGCGUAGCCGACCUGAGAGGGUGAUCGGCCACACUGGAACUGAGACACGGUCAAGACUCCUAAGGGAGGCAGCAGUAGGGAAUCGUCCGCAAUGGGCGAAAGCCUGACGGAGCAACGCCGCGUGAGUGAUGACGGUCUUCGGAUCGUAAAACUCUGUUACUAGGGAAGAACAAAUGUGUAAGUAACUAUGCACGUCUUGACGGUACCUAAUCAGAAAGCCACGGCUAACUACGUG
rnacentral:rRNA from 1 species